AAAAAAGUAAAAUCUCACAUAACACAGCAGCAGUCACAAGUCUCAUGAGUGCUCCUUUAAACAUGAUACCAAAGAAAUUUCUGAAUCCAGAUAAUUCAAGAGAAUCGGAAAGACACUAACCAAUCAGACACUGCAUGAAAGCAUCCACAACACAGUGAGCAGAGUCAUCGAUGUAUAUAUGUAAGCCAAACCAGCUCAUCUGUGCAGCCAUCAUCUUUCUUCAACUUUCUUUCUGUUCAUCAUCAGCAUCGUGAUACUCCUGCUCCUCCUCCGGAACCGGCUUCAGCUCCACAUCCACCUCAGCCAAGCCCUUCUCCACCGCCCCAUCAACUCCAUCCG
rnacentral:misc_RNA from 1 species